GGGGCAAGCAUUACCUGGCCCUUUUACCCCCAACUUUUGGACCCCUGGUAUGGAGAAAAGUCUACAAUGAGUCCUAGCACCGAGGUCUUGUCAGUUCUGGCGCCCAACAAGGCAGGUCUUAACUUAGAUCUGACAUCCUCGGCCCAUCAUCUACCAAGGUAGAAUGCUAGAAAGCCCAGGGCCUCCGACAAGGGGCACGCAGGGUUAGAAUGAGGAAUGGACCACAUGAAGACCUUUCCCCCAAAGGAAGCAGGCUGUGGCAGCCCAGGCUAUCCUGGACACAGAAGGUUGCAGCUACACGUCAGGCUGAGCAAGCCAUAUGGCUCCCAGGUACCUGCUGAGAUUUUGGCGUCUUCAGAGCCAAGGAGGAUAAUUCCUGGUGAGAGGCCAAUAGGGCUCAUCUGCUCCCACCUGGGUCCAACCACAGACGUGCAUUCUGGAAUCUCCCCAAACCCAGAUUCUCUGCUGCCAAGCCGAGAUUUCGGGCUCCUUGCAGGCCCCUGCCUGGAGUCCUGCUGGCCAAGCUUUUCUUGGUGCAAGGAACCCAUGUUCAGACCCAAAGACUUGUGCUUUAAGGGUGCUGCUAUUUGUGACCCUUCACUCUACAUAGCCCAAAUGAUAGCUAGGGCGAUCACUCGUAUCUGGACCCCACUAGACAUCUCCCUUCCAGCACGGCCCCUUUAAGUACCACCCUACUGAUUACCACUGGGGGCAGCACUGAGCAGCCAGGCCAGGAUCAGAGAUUCUGCCUCCAAGCUUCUGCCGGUACCGGCUACAUAGCCGGGUCAGGUACACACCGGAACCGAUUUGGGUUAUGCAGUCUACCUGGGCUCAGCUCAUGAAGAAAUAACCAGGCUGAAUGGCCUGUGAGGUUUCUCCUGCAGGUACUUCUAAUAUAGGUAUGGAGCCAGCACCAGAAACCAGGACCAAGACCUGCAGCCAGGGCUGCUCCAUCCCCUAUGCCCCAGGUAAGCCGGCCCAGCACGUGGGGUGGGGUGGGGGUAAAGGGUCUGGGGUGCAAAGGAGGCUGCCCUGACCGGUAUCUCCUCCCAGGGCAAAAUCCCCGAAAGGCCGAGUGACUGAAACUGCUAGCCUGGGGACGUCUUUUAAGAUGACCCGCACGGACCCGCCGGACUUGCUGGUGUCGACCGUGUACCAGGACAUCAAGGUGGUGGCCCCAGGGCUCACAUCCAAAAGCCAACCAUGUGAGCGAUCCGUGCCCCGGCCAGCUGCGCCCGCGCCUUUCAACAAGCGCCACUGCCGUAGUUUCGACUUCUUAGAGGCACUGGACGAACCCACCAUGGAGACACACCCAGAGCCGCCACCUCCCGAGCCCGCGCCACCGCGCGCCCGGCCCCGAGACAGCGAGCCGCGGCGCCGCACUCGUUCCAAGAGCGCGCCCCGUGGGCCCCAUGGCCUGGCGCCUGCUCCAGCUUCGCCGCCAGUACUGCAGCGCAGAGGCCGGGAGACCCAGCGUUCGGUGCGGUUGGAGGGGUCGCCGCACAAGGAGCCCUCGUACCCUGCGCUACGGGCUCUCGCCAAUGAGCUGCACCCCAUCAAGCUCCAGCCACAGCGUGGCGGCCCCGGACGCAUCGCACCUCUAUGCGCCACCCCAGGCCGCUGUGCACCACCAGAACCACCCACAGGACCGGUCCCCCAUGUCCGCUGCCGUUUAGACAUCAAGCCUGAUGAGGCAGUGCUGCAGCACGCCGCCCGAAGCUCGCGAUCUUGCGCGCCCAGUGAGGCGGCGCCCUGGGCUCGCACCGUCCCACAGUUCCAUGGCCUCACAAUUCCAGGCCCCCGCCAUGUGGCCCUGUCACGCACUCCCACCCCUAGUGACUUGUACUGUACUGACCCCAGAGCAGUGUACUGCGACGGGCCGUUGCCUGGGUCCCGGGACUAUUUGGAGCACCGCAGCCAAACCUUUGCAACGCCCCCAGGUCCCACCCAAUUUUUCUACACCGAGGAACCUGAGGGCUACACAGGCAGUUUUACCACAAGCCCAGGCCUUCCCUUUGAUGGCUACUGCUCCAGGCCCUACUUGGCCGAAGAAGCCCCCAGACCCAGUCCAAGGCGUGGGGGCGGCUACUAUGCUGGGGAAGUACGCACCUUCCCGAUCCAGGAGCCCCCCUCCCGUUCCUACUACGGGGAGGCUCCUCGAGCCUACGGAAUGCCUUUCGUCCCCCGGUAUGUCCCAGAAGAGUCCCGGGCACAUCCCAGUGCCCGCACCUUCUACACAGAGGACUAUGGGAGGUUCCGUGAACGCGACAUAAUGGCUCGCACUUACCCGCAUCCCCGCAGCAGUCCAGCCUGGGCUGAUUGGGGUCCGAGGCCUUACCGCACCCUUCAGGUGGUGCCUCCUCCCGCCCCUGGACCACUGUUGGCCUCGUGGCACGGUGGCACCGGCACAAGCCCGCCCCGGCUGGUGACCGAUAGCCGCCACUACUCUCGAUCCUGGGACAACAUCCUGGCUCCUGGUCCUCGUCGUGAAGACCCUCUAGGACGCGGCCGCAGCUAUGAGAACCUGCUGGGACGCGAGGUUCGGGAUACACGGGGUUCAUCCCCGGAAGGCCGUCGUCCACCAGUAGUAGUGAACCUAUCCACCUCACCCAGACGCUAUGCAGCACUGUCGCUGUCCGAGACGUCACUUACAGAAAAGGGCCGUGGUGGGGAAAGCCUGGGCCGCAACUGGUACAUCACGCCGGAGAUCACCAUCACGGACAAUGACCUGCGCUCAGCAGAGCGCCCGACCACCAGGGGCUGGGAACUGCCUGGAGGCCGACAGCGGCAGCCAGCACCCAAGGUCCCUGAGGGCCCUGCCUCCAGCCGCCAGCGCAGCCUCGAGCAGCUGGACGAGCUCAUCACUGACCUGGUCAUCGACUCACGGCCACCAGGCCAGGCCCCAGAGCCUGCCACCGAAGGUUUAGGCCGCCAACUGCGCCGCCUGCUGGACUCACGGUCUGCGGGCCCUGGAGGAGCAACCGCGCUGGCUCCGUCGCGCUCACCCCCUGCCUCGGCUGGCAGCACCGAGGAGCCCACUGGCUCAGGGGAGGCAGCCGACGCUUCCCCGGAGCCCAGCGCCGACGAGGAUGACUUGAUGACCUGCUCCAACGCGCGCUGUCGGCGGACAGAGACCAUGUUCAACGCCUGCCUCUACUUCAAGUCGUGCCACAGCUGCUAUACCUACUACUGCUCGCGGCUGUGCCGCCGAGAGGACUGGGAUGCGCACAAAGCGCGUUGCGUGUAUGGCCGCGUGGGCAGCGUGUGCCGCCACGUGCUGCAGUUCUGCCGUGACAGCAGCCCGGUGCAUCGCGCCUUCUCCCGGAUAGCGCGUGUCGGAUUCCUAUCGCGCGGCCGUGGCGUGCUGUUCUUGGGCUUCCCAAGCCCGGGCUCUGCCGACAACUUCCUGCGCUUUGGCCUCGAAGGGCUACUGCUAUCGCCCACCUACCUAUCACUGCGUGAGCUGGCUACACAUGCAGCGCCCCUGGGUAGCUAUGCACGAGAGUUGGCGGCGGCCGGGAGGCUCUAUGAGCCCGCGGAGUGCUUCCUGCUUAGUGUGUCGGUGGCCGUGGGCCCUGGAGCUGCACCCCCUGGAGCCGCUGCCCGUCCAGCGCCACGCAGCCCUGGCCCCACGGUGCGCAAGUUUGCCAAGGUGGCUCUGGCCGCCGGCAGCCCGACGCGGCCUCCUCCUGCGCGUGGUGGAGAGCCAGACAUGGAAACGCUGAUCCUAACGCCACCUCCAGGCACUGCGGGCCUGGACCAGGAGGGUGAGGCUGGCCGGCGCGCACGUGAAGUGGCCUUCAUCCACAUCCAGCGUGAACUGCGACUGCGCGGCGUCUUCCUUCGCCAUGAGUUCCCACGCGUCUAUGAGCAGCUCUGCGAGUUCGUCGAGGCUAACCGGCGCUUCACACCCACCACCAUCUAUCCCAUCGAUCGGCGCACUGGCCGCCCCUUCAUGUGCAUGAUCAUGGCUGCUUCCGAGCCGCGUGCACUCGACUGGGUAGCCAGCGCCAAUCUGCUAGAUGACAUCAUGUGAGCUUUGGGACUAUUAGGCCCAGGCUCUGACCAGAGCCCUGCCUACUCUACUCAGGCCCAGCCUGAUCCAUCAAGACUGCCCCCAGAAUCUGGACCAGCUGGUUCAGUGCCCCGCUAAGUCCCCAGGAGCCUUCCUUAGGCUUCUACAAAAUCUCUGCCCUGAGCUCCACCCACUCCAAACAUCUAACUUUGCCUAGGAGCCCACCCCCGCCACACUCCCCGACGACCUGUUUCCCAUCAGCUGCUUCUCUUCCUUCCUGUUUUCAACCAGACCACCCAGAUCCUACCUACAUCCUGGGCUCUCAAGUCAGCCAGGGGGAGGGGGCUCCCCAAGAGCCCGGUCCUCGCCCUCGGUGCUCCCCGCUGGGAGGUGGGGUGGGCCUGAGGACCACUGGGCUCUGCCUUCUAGUGGAAGGUUACUACUACACACAUCCCAUGGGGACAAACGAUAUACUUCGUGGGUGCUUGCUAUAGCUCGCCAACCCUGGAUCCAUUCCCUUUCCUCCUAGUCCAGCAGUUCAUGUUGACCAAAACCUAAAGUCCUUACUGUAAGCAAGCACUUCCCUAACCCUCCUCCUGUGUCUGGGGUGUGUCAGGUUUCAGAGGCCUGGUUCCUGUGCAUCCCUAGGAUGUUGAGGCAAUGGGCAGGGCGGAUGCUACACCCUAACAGUACUGCCUGUCCUGAGGUUCUCUCACCUCUGGUCACCUUGGUCUGGGCCCUUGCAGGACCAGUUAGAAUACUGAGGGGUCUUUAGGCCAAGGCCAAGGCUCAAGCCAUCCAGCCAGAGGGGAACCAGGGAAGGGGAAGCAGAUGGUGUGCUGGCCAGAGUUAAAAUCUGGCUGGGUGAGGUUUGAGCUCAUCCACACCUACUCAACAAGAUGGCCCUAAAAAAAUCCACUUUCCAGAGAAGAUGGAAGCGCAGGCCUUAAUCUCCCAGGGAGGUGGAAGUGUGUGCUGAUGAAUUAGCAGGGGACCCUUCAUAGAGCAACACUUACCUGCCAACUGAUUUGGGAAUAAGGAACAGGGACUGUCCCUAACUAGGGACUGGUUGGGGUGCAGAGUAGUGAGCCACCCGGUGUGGGAACCGAUAGGGAGCCGGUGCUGAGGCUUAACAUGAGUCCAACCUAUGCACAAAAGUGCCGCAUACUCGCCCUGGCUGAACUCCAAGCUGAGAGUAGAAGCCAAAGCCUGGUGUGUAAUGGAGACUGUAAGCCUAGGCAGCCCUGGGCCCCUUGUCGGACCUCUGCAGCCUAACUGCACCCGGAUCUGAGCCCAGGGCUCCGUGGAGGGUGUGACCCUGAGAGGCUUGAGACCAGAAGCUGGACAAGUACUCUCUAGAACCCCGAAGCCCCUUCGUAGGUAAGGGAGGUCCAGCGCGAGAGCCUGGGACAACUCCCUGUGCGCGCAGUGUGCGCAUGCGUCACUAUCCCCCACCCCGUACCCUGCUCUGUGUCCCCGGACAUGCCCGGAACUCCCACCUUCGCCUGUGUCUUAGCGCACCUGCCCCUUGCCGCCCUUGCAACACUUGCUGCCGCACCGCCUGCCGCCCUCCCCAGGGGCUCCACAUUCCUUCCUGCGGCAGGCUGAUCGCAGCUCCUUUAACAGCGACUCAAGAGCUCAAAGCUGCAAAGAACUGGGUUGCAAUUGGCUAGUCCGUGCCUCAGAACAAAAGUACAACUGGCUGAGGCUCUGGGCCUCGGGAAACAUCCCCUCACGGGAUUGGCC